AGCUUCAAGAACUGUUUUUGAGUCAAGUAUUCCCUUCUCCUGGCUUCUUUCUCGCGUUGUUCCUCUUGAGUUUUGUUACCUUUCGGCUGGAAAUGGAACACUUGUCGCCGUGUGGCAGUGGUUGGAGCACGACCGGUGUUGAUGAGCUGUCACUGGUCUCUUCCAAGAGGUUUUCUGGAUAGAAAUUCCUUUUCAGGGAGAGUAGAGGAACGAAACCUUUUGACGUAUUCUUUAUGACAGGAGGGCUUCAUGCCUAUAAUCCCAGCACUUGGAAGACGGAAAUAAAAGUGUCGCCGUGAGUUUGAGGACAGCCUGCACUACAGAAAACUGCUUCCCCAGAACGGAGGUGUGUGAAAUGUCCUUGUCCCCUAGGAUAGAGAUGGUAAGCGUGGGCGUCACCACCGAGCCUGGUCAGGCCAGGUGGGAAGCUGAGACCGACGAAGUGGUCCUGCAGCGGCGGCAGAAGCAGAUAGAUUAUGGCAAGUGCACACCUGGGAACCAGAGCUUUCUGCAGCAGGUCCCCAGGUGAGUACAGUUGUAGGCAGGCACAAGAAUGCCAACCAAAUGGCUGUAGCUCAUUGUCAGGUGCUGGAAGGUAACUGGAAACUGGGUGCAGAGGGGCUGAUUCUCCUGCCGUCCAGUCCCCGAUACAUUUGAGAUUUCUCCCAAGUAGUACUUCCCCAGAAAGCUUUCAAGGCUUGUCCAUGAUUUUUCCCCUUGUCUUUUUUUUUUUUUUUUUUUAAUCAUUUAAUGUGUGUGUGGGGUGAGUGCAGAUGUGCCUGUGGAAGUUGGAGGGUCUUCCAGGACAGGCUCUUCUGGGGAUCAGACUUGCUCAUCUGACCCUCCUAUCCUAGCCAGUGGUUUUUAACCUCCUAAGCCAUCUUGCAAUCCCCCACAUUCCUUUUCUUAUUAAUUUUCUUGGUUACUGUACAAAGGAAUGGUUGCAUCGGGAUGCCUUCAUUAUAUGAAAGUAUUUCACUAUUAUUUGUUCAUUUAACUUUUUAAAGCUUUUUAUUAUGCGUUUAUGUUUUCCCUGCAUGUAUGUCUAUACACCACACGCAUGCUGUGGAGGUCAGAAGAGGAUAUCAGAUUCCCUGGAACUGGAACUGCAGAAAGUUGUGAGCUGCCAUGUGGGUGCUGGGAAUCAAAUCCAGGCCGUCUGAGCCAUCCCAGCCCCGCCCUUCUGUUUCCCAUAUGUUCUAAUAUUCUCUUAUUCUCUCCUCUCUGCUCCCUCCAGACCUCUCGCCCCUUCUUCACACACACACACACACAAAUGAAAUGUACCAAAAGUUGGAUAUCAUCUUUACUCAAGGGCCAGUGUAAGUUUCUGUAUCAUUACAAUUCCUGUCGAAGUGAGCAUUACAAGUGAACAUUAUUCCCCAUCCCUUCCCCUUCCUCUCCCUCCGUGUCUCUCAGACAGUCUCACGUAGCCUCAGCUGGCCUCAAACUCUCUAUGUAGUUAAGAAUGACAUUGAACUUGCCUCCACCUCUGAGGGCUAACAUUUCAGGAUGCUAGCUGUGUGCCACCAGGCCUGGCUUCACUGUAUUCACUAGAUUGGAGCAUCAUCCUGUCCUUGGGUAAUCCUGUCUAGGCUUCUGAUUUACUGAUAAGCAAUGAGCAGUGUCCCUUUCCUUUGACUUCAAUCUGACCCAUAUUUGUCAUUGUCAGGGCACAGUGACAGCCGGAUUUUCACCCUCAAACACCAAACAAAAACAGGAGACACAGCCGCAGAUCCUGGGAUGCCCAAAUCAGGCAUGGAGAAGAGCCCUGCAUUCCUGGGACCCCCCAAGCCAGCCUCUCCAUGGCAGACAGGCUGGGGGGGUUCACUAAUCUGUCCCCUAUGAGUGGUGUGACUUAAGUCCUACUUUGUCCACUGCAAGGAUUUAGGUUGUAUUAUUGAGUGGAGGGGUUGGUAUCUGCAUGAGUGUCUGUUCUCUCAUUCUGCUGCUGUCUAGGAAGACAACAAAGAACUCCCUAAGGCCACUGGAGUCCACUCCUUUAGACGAUCUCCUGGAUAACUGGCCCCAGGACUCAGAAUCCUCAGAGAACUGGGACAGAGGCGAGAAAGAGGCCCAGGUAGUGUCCUGCUGAAACCACUGGCUCAGGAAAAUAGCUGGGGUUUGACCUGUGAGAGCAUAAAUAAGGUAUAGUCCAAAGGAGACGGGGUUAGAGCUAUAUGGCCUCCCUGGGUCCGAUCUCUCUUCAGCAUAGAUGAAGGAAUUGGGCAUGGUGGUGCAAAAUCCUGUGAGCGCCAUACUGGGAAGACUUAGUAAGAGGGGCAGGAGUUUUAUUUAUGUUAUUUAAAGCUGAUUUUUAUAAAAC
ensembl:lincRNA